rnacentral:rRNA from 1 species
UACGAAGGGGGCUAGCGUUGCUCGGAAUCACUGGGCGUAAAGCGCACGUAGGCGGAUCUUUAAGUCAGGGGUGAAAUCCUGGAGCUCAACUCCAGAACUGCCUUUGAUACUGGGGAUCUCGAGUCCGAAAGAGGUGAGUGGAACUCCGAGUGUAGAGGUGAAAUUCGUAGAUAUUCGGAAGAACACCAGUGGCGAAGGCGGCUCACUGGUCCGGUACUGACGCUGAGGUGCGAAAGCGUGGGGAGCAAACAGG